rnacentral:rRNA from 1 species
AGAGUUUGAUCCUGGCUCAGAUUGAACGCUGGCGGCAUGCCUUACACAUGCAAGUCGAACGGCAGCACGGAGCUUGCUCUGGUGGCGAGUGGCGAACGGGUGAGUAAUAUAUCGGAACGUACCCUAGAGUGGGGGAUAACGUAGCGAAAGUUACGCUAAUACCGCAUACGAUCUAAGGAUGAAAGUGGGGGAUCGCAAGACCUCAUGCUCGUGGAGCGGCCGAUAUCUGAUUAGCUAGUUGGUAGGGUAAAAGCCUACCAAGGCAUCGAUCAGUAGCUGGUCUGAGAGGACGACCAGCCACACUGGAACUGAGACACGGUCCAGACUCCUACGGGAGGCAGCAGUGGGGAAUUUUGGACAAUGGGCGAAAGCCUGAUCCAGCAAUGCCGCGUGAGUGAAGAAGGCCUUCGGGUUGUAAAGCUCUUUUGUCAGGGAAGAAACGGUGAGAGCUAAUAUCUCUUGCUAAUGACGGUACCUGAAGAAUAAGCACCGGCUAACUACGUGCCAGCAGCCGCGGUAAUACGUAGGGUGCAAGCGUUAAUCGGAAUUACUGGGCGUAAAGCGUGCGCAGGCGGUUUUGUAAGUCUGAUGUGAAAUCCCCGGGCUCAACCUGGGAAUUGCAUUGGAGACUGCAAGGCUAGAAUCUGGCAGAGGGGGGUAGAAUUCCACGUGUAGCAGUGAAAUGCGUA